GCUUGCUACUGAUCUUAGCGGCGGACGGGUGAGUAAUGCUUAGGAAUCUGCCUAUUAGUGGGGGACAACAUUUCGAAAGGAAUGCUAAUACCGCAUACGUCCUACGGGAGAAAUGGUCAGGGGAUCUUCGGACCUUGCGCUAAUAGAUGAGCCUAAGUCGGAUUAGCUAGUCGGUGGGGUAAAGGCCUACCAAGGCGACGAUCUGUAGCGGGUCUGAGAGGAUGAUCCGCCACACUGGGACUGAGACACGGCCCAGACUCCUACGGGAGGCAGCAGUGGGGAAUAUUGGACAAUGGGCGCAAGCCUGAUCCAGCCAUGCCGCGUGUGUGAAGAAGGCCUUAUGGUUGUAAAGCACUUUAAGCGAGGAGGAGGCUACUUUAGUUAAUACCUAGAGAUAGUGGACGUUACUCGCAGAAUAAGCACCGGCUAACUCUGUGCCAGCAGCCGCGGUAAUACAGAGGGUGCAAGCGUUAAUCGGAUUUACUGGGCGUAAAGCGCGCGUAGGCGGCUAAUUAAGUCAAAUGUGAAAUCCCCGAGCUUAACUUGGGAAUUGCAUUCGAUACUGGUUAGCUAGAGUGUGGGAGAGGAUGGUAGAAUUCCAGGUGUAGCGGUGAAAUGCGUAGAGAUCUGGAGGAAUACCGAUGGCGAAGGCAGCCAUCUGGCCUAACACUGACGCUGAGGUGCGAAAGCAUGGGGAGCAAACAGGAUUAGAUACCCUGGUAGUCCAUGCCGUAAACGAUGUCUACUAGCCGUUGGGGCCUUUGAGGCUUUAGUGGCGCAGCUAACGCGAUAAGUAGACCGCCUGGGGAGUACGGUCGCAAGACUAAAACUCAAAUGAAUUGACGGGGGCCCGCACAAGCGGUGGAGCAUGUGGUUUAAUUCGAUGCAACGCGAAGAACCUUACCUGGCCUUGACAUAGUAAGAACUUUUCCAGAGAUGGAUUGGUGCCCUUCGGGAACUUACAUACAGGUGCUGCAUGGCUGUCGUCAGCUCGUGUCGUGGAGAUGGUGGGUUAAGUCCCGCAACGAGCGCAACCCUUUUUUCCUUAGUUUGCCAGCGAGUAAUGUCGGGAACUUUAAGGAUACUGCCAGUGACAAACUGGAGGAAGGCGGGGACGACGUCAAGUCAUCAUGGCCCUUACGGCCAGGGCUACACACGUGCUACAAUGGUCGGUACAAAGGGUUGCUACCUAGCGAUAGGAUGCUAAUCUCAAAAAGCCGAUCGUAGUCCGGAUUGGAGUCUGCAACUCGACUCCAUGAAGUCGGAAUCGCUAGUAAUCGCGGAUCAGAAUGCC
rnacentral:rRNA from 1 species